CCAGCUGCAGGCGCUGGUGUUCGGCAUGGCCGGCUGCAUCGAGACCUUGGAGAGGCGCCUGGAAGCCGUGGAGACACUGGCAUCUUCCUGCAGCCCUCAGAAGAAUACUGCCCAGAGCCAGCAGCUCUUCCUGCCAGACCCCAGCCCCAGGAAGAACAGGGCUGCUGGCUCAGCUUUGCCAGCCAAAAGGAAGGUUCCGGGAGAGUCUCUCAUUAACCCUGGUUUCAAAAGCAAGAAAGCAUCAUCUGGAGUGAAUUUCGAGGACUCCUGAGUGGUGCUGUCCUGUGCCCUGAUGACAGCCCUGUGGAGCCCUAUCAGCAUGCGCGUGGGUGGAGGAGAGAGUGCCCGGUGUCUGGGGCCAGCUGAGCCCCUCUCACCCAGGGAGGCAACAGAGCCAUCAGCACAUGGCAGCUGACCCUCCACUGGGGUGGUGGCCGGGCCUUUGAGGAGACACCAGUGGUUGCUUUCUUCCCAGCAGCUCUUCCCUGCUGGCAGGGGCCACCUCUUGACUUCAUUUUCCUUGAAUUGGUGGGGUUUGGAAGGAAUUUUUGUAGCACUGCAGAACGGAAGGAUUGCCUGUGCUUAUCUUCUUUCCAGUAAAGGUGUUUUUAGCCAGCCAGUCUCUGUGGAUGUGUCGGUGUAUUCUGCCUCUCCCGUUCCCAGGAAGCCUUGGGCCAGUUUC
rnacentral:lncRNA from 1 species